UUGACGUCUGGCAUAUUGGGAAAAGUGUACAGAAAGCACUGGAUGCUGCUGCAAAAGAGAGGGACUGUGAGGAUCUGAAGCUGUGGAGGCCUGCCAUUAUCAACCAUCUCUACUGGACCGCAGCUUCCACCCCUACAGGAGAUCCAGAUGAGAUGCAGGCAAAAUGGCAGAGUAUGAUAAAUUAUGUACAGGACAUACAUGAACACAGCUCUCCAGCAUUUACCAGCUGCGCACAUCCACCGUUGGAAGGAGAGGCAAGAAACAAGGAGUGGCUGGAACCAGGAUCACCAGCAGCCACUAAACUGGAGAGUGUAGCUGCCAGGAAAGCACUGGUAAAGGAUAUUCGACAAUUGUCACCUCAGCAUCAGACAU